rnacentral:rRNA from 1 species
GUAGGUGGCAAGCGUUGUCCGGGAAUUAUUGGGGGCGUAAAGCGCGCGCAGGCGGUUCUUUAAGUCUGAUGUGAAAGCCCACGGGCUCAACCGUGAGGGUCAUUGGAAACUAGAGAACUUGAGUACAGAAGAGGAAAGCGGAAUUCCACGUGUAGCGGUGAAAUGCGUAGAGAUGUGGAGGAACACCAGUGGCGAAGGCGGCUUUCUGGUCUGUAACUGACGCUGAGGCGCGAAAGCGUGGGGAGCAAACAGGAUUAGAUACCCUGGUAGUCCACGCCGUAAACGAUGAGUGCUGAGUGUUAGGGGGUUUCCGCCCCUUAGUGCUGCAGCUAACGCAUUAAGCACUCCGCCUGGGGAGUACGGCCGCAAAGGCUG